GAUGAAGAACGUAGCGAAAUGCGAUAAGUAAUGUGAAUUGCAGAAUUCAGUGAAUCAUCGAAUCUUUGAACGCACCUUGCACCCUUUGGCAUUCCGAAGGGUAUGCUCGUUUGAGUGUCAUUGUACUCUCACACUUCCAAUCUUUGGAUUGGGAGCGGUGGACUUGGGUGUUGCUGCUUACUGUGGCUCACCUCAAAUCGAUUCGUGCACCUCUUGGUUGGACAUAGUACGGCGUGAUAAGUGUCUUCGCCGGCACCUCAGUAGAGGGUGGCUGAUCAGGAGCUCUGUGCUUCAAACCGUCCUCGGACAACAACUGACAACUUGACCUCAAAUCGAGUAGGACUACCCGCUGAACUUAAGCAUAUCAAUAGCGGAGGA
rnacentral:misc_RNA from 1 species